rnacentral:misc_RNA from 1 species
GUGAUUAAAUCGAGCGUGUCCUCAUUGACCGCUCACCCUUCUCACCAUCCACAUACACCUGUGCACUGUUUAGCCUGAGCCGGUUUUCCGGUCCAAGUUAUCAUUUCAUACAAACUCUAGUCUUAUGAAUGUAAACGUUUUAAUAACAUAAUA